GAUGAAGAACGUAGCGAAAUGCGAUAAGUAAUGUGAAUUGCAGAAUUCAGUGAAUCAUCGAAUCUUUGAACGCACAUUGCGCCCCCUGGUAUUCCGGGGGGCAUGCCUGUUCGAGCGUCAUUUCACCACUCAAGCCUCGCUUGGUAUUGGGCAACGCGGUCCGCCGCGUGCCUCAAAUCGACCGGCUGGGUCUUCUGUCCCCUAAGCGUUGUGGAAACUAUUCGCUAAAGGGUGUUCGGGAGGCUACGCCGUAACACAACCCCAUUUCUAAGGUUGACCUCGGAUCAGGUAGGGAUACCCGCUGAACUUAAGCAUAUCAAAAGCGGAGGA
rnacentral:misc_RNA from 1 species